rnacentral:ncRNA from 1 species
ACGUUGCGCAGUCUACGCCUCGUCGCCGUCUGCUGGGAAUCCGCCCGCACCGACACGGGGCGGAAGAGACGAGAGGA